AUUGAACGCUGGCGGCACGCUUAACACAUGCAAGUCGAGCGGUAACAUGGGUAGUAGCAAUACUAUCUGAUGACGAGCGGCGGACGGGUGAGUAACACGUAGGAACUUGCCCAGUAGUGGGGGACAAACAAGGGAAACUUUGGCUAAUACCGCAUAUACUCGAGAGAGGAAAGCUGCCAGCAAUGGUGGCGCCAAUGGAGAGGCCUGCGUCCGAGUACCCCGUUGGUGAGGUAAUAGCUUACCAAGGCGAGGAUCGGUAACUGGGCUGAGAGGACGACCAGUCACACUGAGACUGAGACACGGCCCAGACUCCUACGGGAGGCAGCAGUGGGGAAUCUUGGACAAUGGGGGCAACCCUGAUCCAGCGAUGCCGCGUGAGUGAAGAAGGCCUUCGGGUCGUAAAGCUCUUUAGGCUGGGAAGAAGGUUAGUAGUUUAAGAGAUAACUAGCUUGACUGUACCAGCAGAAUAAGCACCGGCAAACUCUGUGCCAGCCGCCGCGGUAA
rnacentral:rRNA from 1 species